AACGAACGCUGGCGGCAUGCCUAACACAUGCAAGUCGAACGAGACCUUCGGGUCUAGUGGCGCACGGGUGCGUAACGCGUGGGAACCUGCCCUUAGGUUCGGAAUAACUCUCCGAAAGGGGUGCUAAUACCGGACAAUGUCUUCGGACCAAAGAUUUAUCGACUUUGGAUGGGCCCGCGUUGGAUUAGCUCGUUGGUAGGGUAAAAGCCUACCAAGGCGACGAUCCAUAGCUGGUCUGAGAGGAUGAUCAGCCACACUGGGACUGAGACACGGCCCAGACUCCUACGGGAGGCAGCAGUGGGGAAUAUUGGACAAUGGGCGGAGGCCUGAUCCAGCAAUGCCGCGUGAGUGAUGAAGGCCGUAGGGUUGUAAAGCUCUUUUACCCGGGAUGAUAAUGACAGUACCGGGAGAAUAAGCUCCGGCUAACUCCGUG
rnacentral:rRNA from 1 species